rnacentral:rRNA from 1 species
UGGGGAAUAUUGGACAAUGGGCGGAAGCCUGAUCCAGCCAUGCCGCGUGUGUGAAGAAGGCCUUUUGGUUGUAAAGCACUUUAAGCGAGGAGGAGGCUACUUGGAUUAAUACUCUAGGAUAGUGGACGUUACUCGCAGAAUAAGCACCGGCUAACUCUGUGCCAGUAGCCGCGGUAAUACAGAGGGUGCGAGCGUUAAUCGGAUUUACUGGGCGUAAAGCGUGCGUAGGCGGCUUCUUAAGUCGGAUGUGAAAUCCCUGAGCUUAACUUAGGAAUUGCAUUCGAUACUGGGAAGCUAGAGUAUGGGAGAGGAUGGUAGAAUUCCAGGUGUAGCGGUGAGAUGCGUAGAGAUCUGGAGGAAUACCGAUGGCGAAGGCAGCCAUCUGGCCUAAUACUGACGCUGAGGUACGAAAGCAUGGGGAGCAAACAGG